rnacentral:rRNA from 1 species
AAUGGGCGCAAGCCUGAUCCAGCCAUGCCGCGUGAGUGAUGAAGGCCUUAGGGUCGUAAAGCUCUUUCGCCAGAGAUGAUAAUGACAGUAUCUGGUAAAGAAACCCCGGCUAACUCCGUGCCAGCAGCCGCGGUAAUACGGAGGGGGUUAGCGUUGUUCGGAAUUACUGGGCAUAAAGCGCACGUAGGCGGACUGGAAAGUUGGGGGUGAAAUCCCGGGGCUCAACCCCGGAACUGCCUCCAAAACUAUCAGUCUAGAGUUCGAGAGAGGUGAGUGGAAUUCCGAGUGUAGAGGUGAAAUUCGUAGAUAUUCGGAGGAACACCAGUGGCGAAGGCGGCUCACUGGCUCGAUACUGACGCUGAGGUGCGAAAGUGUGGGGAGCAAACAGGAUU